GAAAUGAUUGAUAUCACUUCCUGUUUCAUUUGCACACUUCCAGAAGACUCUGUGUACUACAAGUUCAUGGAAAGCACUGAAGUCAAGCCGGUCCCCCUUUUGUCCUUUUUUAAGAAUUAUCCUCUAAAGAAAAGCGUUUACAAAAAGGUUUGUCAGCAAAGUUUAAGUUGACCUUAUUAAGGAAAGGUCAUGAAAUGUGCAUUAUUGUCAUAACUGAAAGCAAGUAGUACAAUCAUGGUGCUUUAGAGAACUCUUCAUUUAUUUUCUGAAUCCAUCCAUCCAUCCAUCCAUUUAUUUCCUUAUGCUUAUCUGCAGUUGGGUUGUGGGGUCAACAGCCUCUCACCCGUUUUAUAAGGGAGAGUCCAGCUGCAUUGGAAACUCAGUUUGCUUAUCCAUGAUCUUGUUGUUGCAGUCAGUACCCAAAGCUCAUGACCGUAGGUGAACUUAGGAAUGUAGAUCGAGAGCUUCGCCUGUGACUCAGCUCUUUACCACAACACACUGGCACAGCCUCCGCAUCACUUCAGACACUACACUGAUCCACCUGCCGAUCUCCUGCUCCAUCUUUUCCUCAUUUGUGAACUCAAUUCAGAGAUACUUCAAAUCCUCCACUUGGGGCAGGACGUCUUACACUUUUCUGGCUGAAGACCAUGGUGAUGGAGGCCCUGACUUAACAACUACAGUACAUUAGCUAUGCUACAAACUUUACUUUGAUGAGGAAUGUGGUGGUGUUUUUAUAUUGCCAGAUCUGGUUUAACAUGAAUAAUAGGCAUCUAUUAUGUGCCCAUUAUUAAUAUUUAGUUGUAUUUUUCUGCAUCUGACAUUGCAAAUGUUGGUAAACAUAAACAAAAAACAAAACUGAAACUAAAUGUUUUUAUAAAGUAAUUUUUUAAAUAAAGUUUGAAUUUUUGCAUGUAGGUCAAAACCUACAUACAACAAAAAUGUAUGUAAGUUUUGAACUUUGAAAUGACCAAUUAUCGGUGUACUCCAUGUAUUACAAAGAACAUGGAUAUCUCAUAAGAUUGUUUACGGUAACAGUAGAUGGAAGGGAUGAAUGAAUGCCUGAGGGGGAAGUUUAUCUGCAGCCACUUGAGAGUAUGAAAACAGCUUAGCAACAUAAAAGUUGUCCAAAAAAGUGGAAAGUUUGAAGAUGCAUGUAAACAAAUUAGAAUAAAGCAUUACAUUAAUAUGAAACUAAAAACUAAAAGUGUCAAAGUGGCAUUGAGCCAAAUCUGCCUGAAGAUUUUCUUCAUGGAAGCAGAAAAAUGAAAAGAGGAAUUCUCAGAAAUAGAUCCAAUUAUAAAAACAGGCACAUAUUGUGUUCAGAAUGGUAUGUGCAGACUGAAGUUUCAUCAGCCGACCUUAAGAUUAAAAAGAACAUUUUUCAAUAUACAAUAAUUUUUCUAAUUACUUCAAAAGUACCAGCUGAUAGAAGUAAAAUUUGGACAGCUGGUUCAGUGAACUUUGGAUGUUUUACUGAAAUGGGUUGAUUUAAAAAGCUUCAGGCAGAGCUGCCGACGGUGCAGGACUCCAUGCGGUUCCAACACCUUGUGACCAGGUUUUAUUUAAGUAAUUGCUCCAACUCAAUUGGUAAAUCCUUCAGCUAAUAGAUCAGGUCAGUUGGUAUGCCUGCUAAUGUGCAGGUCUUUAAGUAUUCUGUCCAAUAACUGGCCCUGUGCAGCACCUAAUCACAAAAGUAUUUAGAGUUCAGCCUGUUAAAUUCCACAUUUAACUCUGACGUUGGUAUUUAGCAUGCAGCCAAAUAAAUGGCUAAUUUAGCAGUCUGACUAAUGACUGAUGUGUUUAGCAUGCGGGCUAAUGAGCGAGCUGGAGGCUGAUUAGUAUUGCUCCACAGAGACACACCAGUGUUCUGUUUACUCAUCUCAUUCUCAGCUGCCUGAUGGAUACACACACAGAAACAGUUACUGGGAUUUUGGCAAGUGGAAGUGUGUUUAUACAUGUGUGUGUGGUUAUCUGAGUGUUUGUUGAGGAUAGCAGUGAAAAAUAAGACUUUGUGCUGUUGUGGUUCAUUGAUUCUAGUGAGGCUGAUCCAUGGACGCUGAAACCGCACUCAUUAUAAUUUACUUAGUCCAUUUAGUAAAGGUAGUUUUGUGUUCGACUUUCAAAAAGAACUGCAACAAACAGGUUGUUAAACUAUUUAUAGAUAAAUUAAAAAAAGAAAUCUCUAGCAGGUGUUUUUUCCUCUAUCUGUUAAUUUACUAUUUACAGUGGGUUCAAAAGUAUUCACACCCCCAAAGCAUUUCUAUAUAUUUUUUUUACAAAUGAAAAUGAAAAGUGCAGUAUGUAGAAGUAUCCAGGCCACUGAGUCAAUCCUCUGUGGAACCAGGUUCUGCUGCUGUUGCAGCUGCUAGUCUUUAGGGUUUGUCUCCACCAGCUUUGAUCUGAAAUUUUUGCCCAUUCUUCUUUGUCAAACAGCUCAAGCUCAGUCGGACUGGAGGCAUUGUUAGAGCGUUUGUGAACAGCAACUUUCAGAUCUUGCCACAGAUUCUGGAUUGGGUUUAGCUAUGGACUUUGACUAGGCCAUUCUAAAACAUGAACAUGUUAUGGUAAAGGUGGUUGUUCUGCUGGAAGCUGAAUCUCUGCACCAGCUUGCAGUCUUUACACUCCUACAGGUUUUCUUCCAACAUUGCUCUGUAUUUGGCUCUAUUGGGAUGUCCGCUGAUUUGCCCAUGUGGUGAUGAAUAGGCAAAUCAGCCUAAGCCUCUUCUAAUCUUCUGUCUGCUGUGUUCCUUGGACUUCAUGAUGUUUUUGCUCUCCAAUAUUCUCUGAACCUCUGAAGCAUGACAGAGCAGCUGGAUUUGUUCUGACAUCAUGUUUCACACAGGUGGACUCUAUUCAGUCAUUAGCAGCCAUCAGGCAACUUCUGAGAGAAAUUGGCUGCACUCACACCAAUUUUAUUUUACAAAUAAAAAAAAACAAUUUUUUAUUGGUAAAAAAUAUUUUGAAUGGUGGAUAAUUUUCUACAAUUGUGGACCUUUGUCUUGGUCUUUCAUAUUCAAUUCCAAUGAAAUAUACUUAUGUUUGUGGUUGUAAUUUGACCAAACAUGGUUGUAAAUAGAUAUGGAAAGGUUCAAGGGAUAUGAAUGCUUUUGUAAGUGACUGUAUUUGUUGUGCUUUUUGCAACUUUACAGCAGCUGGAUCACAUGUUCAGUGCAGAACAUGACAGCUUCUUUGGUGACCUUUUGGUUGUUGGGGUUUUACAGUGCAUUAAAGAGCCACACUCUGAUUACUUAAUCAUGGUUUUAUUAAUGUCAGUAAACACACAAAACCUGAUUCAGGAAGAAUAAACUGGGCUUGCCUUCAGCAUCACUGCUCAUCAUUUGCUCCCACAACCUGCUCCAUGUUUUAAGCAUGAUGGUGAAAUAAAAUAAAAUAAGUAAAUGCUGACAGAAAUGCUAAUGGUAUUUUUAUUUGUCUUAUUUCUUCUCUUCUCCAUGAUGUGGUCUUGGUAUACUGAGGUCAGAUUGAAUCUGCUGAUGCAGAUAUGCUCACACAUUACAGAAACCAUUCAAUUAUGACCAUAGUUGGAUAUGUGAAACAAUACAGUGGAUCUCUAGUAUUUAGUAAGGGACUACAGCCAUCCACGAAUAGAUGAAAUCUGCAAAUACUUCCGACAUCUCUACAAACAAUUGCAACUGCUUGUUCAAACGCUAAAUAUACUACAAUAUUCAUUAAUGUACAUGGUGGAAACCCCUUUGCUCUAUGGUAGAAGCUAACAUUUAUAGUCUUCAUUGUCUUGUCAUUGACUACUUGUGGUGAUACAGCCAAUCAGCACCAAGGAAAAUGAAAGGUACUCCUGGAUUGGGUGGUUUGCAAACACCAGCGAAUAGCAUGUCAAGUGGCAUUGCUUCCAGGUUUCUGCUUCCCAAGCAGCAUUUUCUUGCAAAUAUUUUUCUACCAAAGUUACGUUCAGGAGAAAAAAUCUGUUAAGUGGAUUUAUGAAUACUGAGACACUAAUAGACUGGGUUCCACUGGAGUUGCAUUAAAACCCCCCCAAAAAACUGAAAAUUAGGCUCAACAAACAAAUUCCACAAAAACUGUUUAAAUAGUUUAAUAAAACUGAAGUUUAAACAAACUCAGACGUUUAACUUCUGAUCUCAGAGUUGUCCCUCUGAAGUCAGAAGAGAGCUUUGUCUCCGUCUAACAGCCUCACAACAAUUCUGAUCAUCUGCAGCCUCACAGUGGAACACUACCAAAUUAAUGUUUGCUUGUUCAUUUUGGUUACUGCUGACAUCAUGUCCCUCAGGAAAAAAACUGACGUUUGUGGGUUCUUAGAAGUGCCAGCUGGUAAAUUUCAGUCGACCUUGCAAAGAAUGCAGACGCUCUGAAAAUACAUCUAGAGAGAACAUCAUUUCAGCAGCAAAAAUCAACCCAAGAAUAACUAAAUGUUCAACACAGAACUUCAAAAAUGUGAGUGUGAAAAAAAGGUUUAUACUCUUAUUUCCAGACCAGAAGGUUCAGUGGUAUAUCCUAAGUGUUUGAGUACUGGUGGUCCAUUACCAGUACUCAAUGGAUCACCAGUCCAUUGAGUACGGGAGCAGCCCCUGGAGAACCAGGGGCUGCUCCCUAGGCCACUCCUGGAAGGUUGAUACAACCUUCCAUAGUUUAAUAGUUCCCAUUAAACUAUGGGACAGUGACAAUAGUUUAAUGGUCACUGUCCCACAUGGGAAUCAAACCAUGUGUUUCUAUGUAUGGUUACAUCAUACAUAUACACGGGCUUAAAUCUUUGACUGUUAGUGGAAAGGGAAUCGAACCCGGGUCUGCCGGGUGGGAGGCAAGUGCUUUAACCAGUGCUACGGAGGUCACGUGACUUCUUGGGCCACAUCAUUAUUAUGUAUAUGAGCAGACAGGCGUCCUGAAAGCUGGAAACUUCUUUACUGCUUCAUCAUUGUGAGAGACACGACCGGCAGCACACACGGGCUUUGGUAGGAGUGAACGGUAAGUUGUUUUUAAUGACUGAAAAUUGUUAAAAUGUGUUUAUUCUAAGAAAAAUAAGUAACUGCAUUUUUUUUUUGGCACAGCGGUCACAUGUCCUCACAGCUGCAGCUUGUCAACUGCACCGGCCAUACAGAAGCAGGAGCUCUGCCACUGCAGGUCACAUGACAUGAUGACUCAUCUGUUUGAUGGAGCAGGUGCAAGUUGUUAGCUGCUGCACUCAUUGUGAGGGAGACGACAGAGCAGUGAGCAACAAGUAGAGAAACCGGAGCAUUUUGCACGUGCUUUUCUUGAGGGAGAGACAACGUUUGCCUACAGAAAUGAUGCCCCCAAAGUCUCCUCCACACUGCCCAAUAUGUGAAUAUCAAUUCAUUUAUCUGGGGAAACACCUGAUCAGCAAACAUUCAAUCUCAAACAAGUUGGAGAAAAGAAUAUUAAUUAACUAUGCCACAGGGUGAGUAAAUUUUCAUCACCUCUCCUGUCCAGUAGAGGGAUGUGACUUCAGCAAAACUCGAAUUGACAGACAUCUGGAGAUUGGCCACCCGGAGCUAGGUGAAGAAAAGGUGAAGGGCAUUGCUGAUGACCUGAAAAGAAAGGUCACCAUAGCCAGCCUGAGGACCCUCAGGCUGGCUAUGGUGCCUGCCCAUGCUUUCUAGCUUGGACAUUGGCCAUGAUGAAAAUGAGAUGCUCCGGGAUGUGUCAGAUUCCGAGGCUCCCUCCAGCUCCUCCUGCUCCAAAUGCACCAAAAUGGCAGCGGAUACUAAGGAGCUGUGGAGGAAGCUGCGGAACAGACAGAGGUGGAUCAAGAAGGCCAAGGCCAAAAUCAAGUCCUUGGAGGAGACAGUAGAACUCAAGGACACGGACAACUCCCAUAGCCCUCCUCCAAGUGGGCAAGGUGACUCCACCACCACCCAGGACUUGCAGGAAUCAGAGGACGCACAACCCACCACCCAGGACGCACCGCUAAAACGAAGAUCGAAAAAGGGUCUUAAUAUUCUUCCAAAUUGCAGCCCCAUGUUAAAAUGCAUGCUGCUCAAAAAAAAUGCAGAGGUACCCGCCACAAAAACGGCCCUUGCAUGCAAGGAGGGUUGCAAAGAAGUAGUUUAGAUCUUUUUUUUUUUUUUUUUUUUUUUUUUUUUUUUUGCAUUUUGAGUUUGAUUUUGUUUGCUGUGUUUUGCUGUGCGUGCUGUUUAUAUUGUACUUUUAUUUAGUAAAUUUUGUAAUAUAGUUUAAGUUCCUGGAAAUAUAUUGUUGUUUUUGUGUAAUUAAAUGUAAAUAUUCUUGUUUAA